rnacentral:rRNA from 1 species
UACGUAGGGGGCAAGCGUUGUCCGGAAUUAUUGGGCGUAAAGGGCGUGUAGGCGGUAUCGUAAGUCAGGUGUGAAAGUUUGAGGCUUAACCUCAAAAUUGCACUUGAAACUGCAAUACUUGAGUACUGGAGAGGUAAGUGGAAUUCCUAGUGUAGCGGUGAAAUGCGUAGAUAUUAGGAGGAACACCAGUGGCGAAGGCGACUUACUGGACAGUUACUGACGCUGAGGCGCGAAAGCGUGGGGAGCAAACAGGAUUAGAUACCCUGGUAGUCCACGCCGCAAACGAUGAAUGCUAGGUGUUGGGGAGACUCAGUGCCGCAGUUAACACAAUAAGCAUUCCGCCUGGGGAGUACGGUCGCAAGACUGAA